ensembl:lncRNA
CAGAAAUGACCCAAGGGAUGGAACACCUCUCCUAUGAGGACAGGCUGAGGGAGUUGGGCCUGGAGAAGAGAAGGUUCCGAGAUGACCUAAUAGCAGCUCCGGUGCUUUGUUUGAAAUCAUCCCUGCAGGGCCCAGUGCUUCAGAUUACAGCUGGCAGUGAGAUACAGCAGUGUUCAGGGGCUCCUGGCUCUGCAGCACCACAGGCACCCCACAGGGUUGCACCUCUGUCACAAGAAGGACAAGUGGCACGAGGACUAGCAAAAGGGCUGGCAUCAGCAGUGAAAAUGAGCACAUAUACCAGGCGGUAGGAGGG